rnacentral:rRNA from 1 species
AACGGAGAGUUUGAUCCUGGCUCAGGACGAACGCUGGCGGCGUGCUUAACACAUGCAAGUCAAGGAGAAAGUCCUCUUCGGAGGGCAAGUAAACUGGCGAACGGGUGAGUAACACGUAGGUAAUCUGCCUUCGAGAUUGGGAUAACAUCGAGAAAUCGGUGCUAAUACCAAAUAAGGUCUCGGUAUAUUAUAUCGGGAUGAAAAGUGGGGAUCUUCGGACCUACUGCUUGAAGAUGAGCCUACGUCUGAUUAGCUAGUUGGUAAGGUAAUGGCUUACCAAGGCGACGAUCAGUAGCUGGUCUGAGAGGAUGAUCAGCCACAUUGGGACUGAGAUACGGCCCAGACUCCUA